ACAAAAACUGAGGUAAUUGUCUUUGUUGCCAAAGAGAAACGAUUAAAGGUCACGACAGAGCUUCAGUCUUUACACCUAAAAGCCACCAACCAGGCUAGAAAUCUGGGUGUAGGGAUUUAGACUAUUUAUACCUAAACUUUGAAAAACAAAUUAAGGGAAUCACAA